UAACACGUGAGGAACCUACCUUCAAGUGGGGAAUAACUGCCAGAAAUGGCCGCUAAUACCGCGUGUGGUUGUCUGUUGGCAUCUUCGGACAACUAAAGAUUUAUCGCUUGGAGACGGCCUCGCGGCCUAUUAGCUAGUUGGUGGGGUAACGGCCUACCAAGGCGAUGAUGGGUAGCUGGUCUGAGAGGACGAUCAGCCACACUGGGACUGAGACACGGCCCAG
rnacentral:rRNA from 1 species